UACAGAGGGUGCGAGCGUUGUCCGGAAUCACUGGGCGUAAAGGGCGCGUAGGCGGCUUUUCAAGCGUGCGGUGAAAGCUCGGGGCUUAACUCCGAGUCUGCCGUGCGAACUGGGAGGCUUGAGUCUGGUAGAGGUCGAUGGAAUUCCGGGUGUAGCGGUGGAAUGCGUAGGGAUCCGGAAGAACACCGGUGGCGAAGGCGGUCGACUGGGCCAGUGCUGACGCUGAGGCGCGAAAGCUAGGGUAGCAAACGGG
rnacentral:rRNA from 1 species